rnacentral:rRNA from 1 species
GAUGAACGCUGGCGGCGUGCCUAAUACAUGCGAGUCGAGCGAACAGACGAGGAGCUUGCUCCUCUGACGUUAGCGGCGGACGGGUGAGUAACACGUGGAUAACCUACCUAUAAGACUAGGAUAACUUCGGGAAACCGGAGCUAAUACCGGAUAAUAUAUUGAACCGCAUGGUUCAAUAGUGAAAGACGGUUUUGCUGUCACUCAUAGAUGGAUCCGCGCCGCAUUAGCUAGUUGGUAAGGUAACGGCUUACCAAGGCAACGAUGCGUAGCCGACCUGUGAGGGUGAUCGGCCACACUGGAACUGAGACACGGUCCAGACUCCUACGGGAGGCAGCAGUAGGGAAUCUUCCGCAAUGGGCGAAAGCCUGACGGAGCAACGCCGCGUGAGUGAUGAAGGUCUUCGGAUCGUAAAACUCUGUUAUUAGGGAAGAACAAAUGUGUAAGUAACUAUGCACGUCUUGACGGUACCUAAUCAGAAAGCCACGGCUAACUACGUG